rnacentral:piRNA from 1 species
ACUGUUCUUCUGUAAAUGGUGAUCUCA